rnacentral:rRNA from 1 species
AACGACUCUGGACAACGGAUAUCUCGGCUCUCGCAUCGAUGAAGAACGUAGCGAAAUGCGAUACUUGGUGUGAAUUGCAGAAUCCCGUGAACCAUCGAGUCUUUGAACGCAAGUUGCGCCCGAAGCCACUAGGCCGAAGGCACGCCUGCCUGGGUGUCACGC